GAUGAACGCUGGCGGCGUGCCUAAUACAUGCAAGUCGAGCGAACAGAUGAGGAGCUUGCUCCUCUGACGUUAGCGGCGGACGGGUGAGUAACACGUGGAUAACCUACCUAUAAGACUGGGAUAACUUCGGGAAACCGGAGCUAAUACCGGAUAAUAUAUUGAACCGCAUGGUUCAAUAGUGAAAGACGGUUUUGCUGUCACUUAUAGAUGGAUCCGCGCCGCAUUAGCUAGUUGGUAAGGUAACGGCUUACCAAGGCAACGAUGCGUAGCCGACCUGAGAGGGGGGUGGGACAAAUGGGAACGGAGACAGGUGCAAGAACCCAAGGGAAGGCAGCAGUGGGGAAUUUUCCGAAAGGGGGGAAAGCCUGAGGGAGCAACGCGGGGGGGGGGAUGAAGGGUUUCGGAUCGUAAAACUCUGUUAUUGGGGAAAAAAAAAGGGGAAAGUAAAUAUGCACGUCUUGACGGUACCAAAUCAGAAAGCCACGGCUAACUACGU
rnacentral:rRNA from 1 species